rnacentral:rRNA from 1 species
UACGUAGGGCGCAAGCGUUGUCCGGAAUUAUUGGGCGUAAAGAGCUCGUAGGCGGCUUGUCACGUCGGGUGUGAAAGCCCGGGGCUUAACCCCGGGUCUGCAUUCGAUACGGGCUGGCUAGAGUGUGGUAGGGGAGAUCGGAAUUCCUGGUGUAGCGGUGAAAUGCGCAGAUAUCAGGAGGAACACCGGUGGUGAAGGCGGAUCUCUGGGCCAUUACUGACGCUGAGGAGCGAAAGCGUGGGGAGCGAACAGG